UACAGAGGGUGCGAGUGUUGUUCGGAAUUACUGGGCGUAAAGCGCGCGCAGGCGGCUUCUUAAGUCCAUCGGUGAAAUGCCGGGGGCUCAACCCCCGAGUGUGCCGAGGAUACUGGGAGGCUGGAGACGAGUAGAGGCAAGCGGAAUUCCGGGGUGUAGCGGUGGAAUGCGUAGAGAUCCGGAAGAACACCGGGAGGCGAAGGCGGCUUGCUGGGCUUGGUCUGACGCUGAGGCGCGAAAGCGUGGGGAGCGAACAGG
rnacentral:rRNA from 1 species